AUGCCUAAGCUAGAGCACUUGGAGCUUAAUUUCCGUGCGCAUGACAUCAAGUGCGUGAAUGGUGCUUCUGAUUUUGGCAUCCAACACCUCUCCACCCUCACUAAACUGGAUGUUCGCAUUUAUGGCCUAGCUACCGGAUUUUUCAAAUUAGUUGGGUUUAAAAAAGAACAAGACUUUGUACCUAAGGUCAUUAGCCUUAUCAAAAAUGCAGUGGGGAAACUUCACAUUCGUCCCACUUACUCAUUUACACGUUCUACAGGAGUCUCAACAGGUUGUCACCAUUUUGAAGAACACUUCAAGAAAGAGUAUGGAGAUCUAGCCAGGAGUAGUCAACAAAUUGGAGAAAAUGUUUUUUGUUCCUAUAUGGAUUGA
rnacentral:rRNA from 1 species